rnacentral:rRNA from 1 species
AUUGAACGCUGGCGGCAGGCCUAACACAUGCAAGUCGAGCGGAGCGGCGGACGGGUGAGUCAUGCCUAGGAAUCUGCCUAGUACCGGGGGAUAACGUCCGGAACCGGGCGCUAUUACCGCAUCCUAUUCGAUGCGCCUAGGUGGGAUUAGCUAGUGGGUGGGGUAAAGGCCUACCAAGGCGACGAUCCGUACCUGGUCUGAGAGGAUGAUCAGUCACACUGGAACUGAGACACGGUCCAGACUCCUACGGGAGGCAGCAGUGGGGAAUAUUGGACAAUGGGCGAAAGCCUGAUGCAGCCAUGCCGCGUGUGGGAAGAAGGUCGUCGGAUUGUAAAGCACUUUAAGUGGGGAGGCGGUACCAGCAGAAUAAGCACCGGCUAACUUCGUGCCAGCAGCCGCGGUAAUUC